rnacentral:snRNA from 1 species
AGAUGUGAGGGCAAUCUGCACAUCUGUCACACCAUUGAUCACCAGGGUUGAUUUGGCUAAUCUGGCUGGCUAGGCAGAUGUCCCCUUCCUCCCUCAACACUCCACGUACAGUCCCUCCCCAAAAUGUGCUUGUUUGGUCUAAGAAGAAGAGGAUGACCUUCCCCAAUAGAUGAGGACUGGUCUUCAGUCAAGGGUAUAUGAGUGGCUGCACUCCCCUGCUAGAACCUCCAAACAAGCUCUCAACUAAAAAACAUUCUCUUAAAUCCUCUGGGGAAAGACCCAUGUUACUACAUUUGGGCUAUACCCUUAUCUCUCUCAGCUAUACAUUUAA